GUGCCGGGCAGCAGGCAGAGCCCUCUGCAGCAGAGAGGGGUCUCGAGCUCAAAGAUAAAAGGCAGGCACAUAUACUAAAACUGGGAUGACCAGAGGAGAUCAGCAUGGCCCCUGCACAAGGAUAACAUGCAAAUCUGUGAAGCAUUCCAUUUCUUU
rnacentral:snRNA from 1 species